UACAGAGGUCUCAGCGUUGUUCGGAUUCAUUAGGGCGUAAAGGGUGGCGUAGGUGGCGUGUAAGUCGGGUGUGAAAUUUCGGAAGCUUAACUCCGAAACUGCAUUCGAUACUGCGGUGCGUUGAGGACUGGAGGAGGAGACGUGGAAAUUUGACGGUGAGCAGUGAAAUGCGUAGAGAUCGUGAAGGAAGACCAGUGGCGAAGGCGGG
rnacentral:rRNA from 1 species